rnacentral:ncRNA from 1 species
UAAAAAGCUGUGAACAAGCGAGUAGUCGCCAGACCAUUCCUUCCAGAGAGCCGGUGGUUGCUGCGAACCGGCAGGAACCUGGCGGUGAAUUACACUUGGGAGCUUGCGUGUCAUGCGCACGGACGACAGGGUCCGUUAUCGAAAUGAGUGGGAAACGUCCGGUUUCCAAUGAGGGUGGUACCGCGGAAUCAAUCUCCGUCCCUUUU